CUAGCGACUUCAGAGUUUGAUCCUGGCUCAGGAUGAACGCUGGCGGCGUGCCUAACACAUGCAAGUCGAGCGAACCCUUCGGGGUGAGCGGCGGACGGGUGAGUAACGCGUGGGUAACCUGCCCUGUACACACGGAUAACAUACCGAAAGGUAUGCUAAUACGAGAUAAUAUAUUUUAAUCGCAUGGUUAAGAUAUCAAAGCUCCGGCGGUACAGGAUGGACCCGCGUCUGAUUAGCUAGUUGGUGAGGUAAUGGCUCACCAAGGCGACGAUCAGUAGCCGACCUGAGAGGGUGAUCGGCCACACUGGAACUGAGACACGGUCCAG
rnacentral:rRNA from 1 species